rnacentral:rRNA from 1 species
AGCGAACGCUGGCGGCAGGCUUAACACAUGCAAGUCGAGCGGGCCCUUCGGGGUCAGCGGCGGACGGGUGAGUAACGCGUGGGAACGUGCCUUCUGGUCUGGAAUAACCCUGGGAAACUAGGGCUAAUACCGGAUACGCCCUUUUGGGGAAAGGUUUACUGCCGGAAGAUCGGCCCGCGUCUGAUUAGCUAGUUGGUGGGGUAACGGCCUACCAAGGCGACGAUCAGUAGCUGGUCUGAGAGGAUGAUCAGCCACACUGGGACUGAGACACGGCCCAGACUCCUACGGGAGGGCGGAAGGGGGAAUAUUGGACAAUGGGCGCAAGCCUGAUCCAGCCAUGCCGCGUGAGUGAUGAAGGCCUUAGGGUUGUAAAGCUCUUUUAUCCGGGACGAUAAUGACGGUACCGGAGGAAUAAGCCCCGGCUAACUUCGUG